UACGUAGGGUGCGAGCGUUAAUCGGAAUUACUGGGCGUAAAGCGUGCGCAGGCGGCUUACUAAGACAGGUGUGAAAGCCCCGAGCUUAACUUGGGAAUGGACGCUUGUGACUGGUAGGCUGGAGUGUGGCAGAGGGAGGUGGAAUUCCACGUGUAGCAGUGAAAUGCGUAGAGAUGUGGAGGAACACCGAUGGCGAAGGCAGCCUCCUGGGCCAGCACUGACGCUCAUGCACGAAAGCGUGGGGAGCAAACAGG
rnacentral:rRNA from 1 species